rnacentral:rRNA from 1 species
GAUGAACGCUGGCGGCGUGCCUCAAACAUGCAAGUCGAGCGGGGCUAUGUAAUAUCGCAAGGUAGAACAUAGCCUAGCGGCGAACGGGUGAGUAACACGUGGGUAAUCUGCCCUCGAGUGGGGAAUAAGCUUCCGAAAGGGGGUCUAAUGCCGCAUAACGUUUCAUAACGAUGGUUAUGAAACCAAAGCCCAAAAGGCGCUCGAGGAGGAGCCUGCGUCCUAUCAGCUUGUUGGCAGGGUAAUGGCCUACCAAGGCUAUGACGGGUAGCCGGCCUGAGAGGGUGUCCGGCCACACUGGAACUGAGACACGGUCCAGACUCCUACGGGAGGCAGCAGUGGGGAAUUUUGCGCAAUGGGGGAAACCCUGACGCAGCGACGCCGCGUGGAGGAUGACGGCCUUCGGGUUGUAAACUCCUGUCAGAAGGGACGAAAUCCCGCAAGGGACUGACGGUACCUUCAGAGGAAGCCCCGGCUAACUACGUG